UGGCUCAGUGGUAGGGUGCUUGCCUUGCAUGCAAGAGGCCCUGGGUUAAAUAUCUCAG
rnacentral:tRNA from 1 species